GUCGCAUACUCAUACACUCCAAUCUCCUGCUCUUUCCGUUACUCAUCCCAUUACUUUCAAAUUAAUUUGAAGUUUCCUUCCGUCAACGGAGAGGCGUUAUGCUUGGAUAAUCAAUGCAAAUAUUUAAGCUCAUUAGUGAAUCGAAAUAAAGAAUGUAUAGUCGCUACGUUUUCGUUUAAUUCAGGGAUUCUCCAGGUUGCGGAAACAUCAAGAGUGUGCUCCACUGGAGGAUGCUAUCCAUAUUGCUCACUGGUAUUCUAUGGGGUUAAAGAUCAGGCAGACAAUAUCCAAUAAGACUGGCUUAUGCAAUAACAACCAUUUAGUCACAGGGACAUUCUGUCAAAUUGGUAUUGUUGAGCGCACAUUUAAGAAGCUAAGGUUGUUAAAGGCGUUGUCAACACCUGAAAGCACGACUAUACAAGAGGCAUGCAGAUGUAUGGCCAUCAGAGGUUUGAUGAUUUUAUGUCAACAGCCUCUAAUGCGUUGUUUUGUGGAAUCUAACAGAUAAGCUUGAAAGAGCGGCUGAGAAGGAAAAAGCUAUUGUUGUGGCCAUGGCCAAAUACGUCGAGAUGCACAAAUACGAGCAGAAUCAGGAUGUUAAUUAUUGAAGGAUACCUACGCGGAGCAUGAGACUGGAAAUGUUUAUCUAGAAAUACUAUUGUAAAGAAUAAAUUCUGCAGUAUUUCCAAAUGAUUAAACAAUGAUUGUACUGACAUUUGUAAUCCAGAAGAAUGCAAUGGACGAGUUAUAUUUGUUCAAAUUAUGAAUUUCUGUGUUCCCAAUUGAGACUUUACAUAUU